rnacentral:lncRNA from 1 species
UAUUUAUAAGGUUGUCUCUGUAUGAUGAAUUGAAGCCAGGAGCUUUUGCAAAACACACCAAACUCACCAAAAACAACAGGCAUUGUAUAUAAACUUUUGACAUUAUUUCAAUUCAUAUUUUUAAGUAUCUGUUCAGAAAACAGUAAAAGAAAUAUUAAUUUUACUUUUUGUAUAUAAACUUUUGAAAUUUGUAAGUGGAGAUUGUGUUUUAGGUUUGUUCCUUCAAAAUUUGAGGUAAUUUUCAGGAAGCAUGCAUGAACAUACCCAGAG